UGCAUUUAAAACACCUGCAUUCACUUGCAGCAAUGCUACCGUUUUCUCAGCUAAAAGGAAAACAUUCAAGCUACCAUUUCAUUCAAAAGUUUUUAUUAGCAGUAGGUGCACAUUUUAUUCAAGACGUCGUGCUGAAAUCAAAGAUAAAAUACGCUGCCAAGUUCUUGGGGCAAAAGAAGCGAAACGAAAGGCGAGAUUUAGUGUGGAAAUUUUGGAAGUAAGCCGGGACUGCGUUUGUGGUGGCUUACAUUAAUCAUGCGAUGGAAAAAUACCCCCGGCGACUUACGAUGGAAUUCCGUUGGACGUCCUUAUUUAGAACAAACAGAGGCUGUACGGGAAUCCCGUGUAAUCCGACCACUUAUCACGGCUGCAAAAUGCAAAUUUCCCGGCCGGCACGCAGCAUUACGGGCCGGGAUACGUCAGGGAUAUUGUCAAAGUUCGCUAUCGAGGGAUACACAGGUUAAUCUCAGGUCUAAACUUCACAAGAGGUGGCCUACUCUAUUCGCAAUUAACACGAAUGCAGUUUUUGAUGCAAGUUGGAAGAGAUAAGCCCACAAGCGCUGUUAAUAAAAGUUCUAAAAGCAGAGUUCAUCAAACAAAAGGUAAACGCAAUUCAUAAAAAUUAAAUCUUAAUUAACUCCCGGCAAUAAAGCAUCGCUACAUUUAAGAGGGCACUAACUGUAGUAUAUUUAAUAUUAAAGAUCUCAGGUAAGUGGGAGAGCCUGCAGCUCGCCGAUAAGAGCCCCUACCCUCCUAAGCUUUCGGGGGGCGUCUUAAGAGGCGGCCAUACUUCAAAUUGCGUUUUACUUAGAUAUCUAGUUUGAUUCAUUGCCCCCGUUAUUGCAUAAAAGGGCUUUGAUAACAUCUAUGUGACUUACGUUUAUGGUUGAUAAAAAUUGGUCGGUCCAUACUU